rnacentral:rRNA from 16 species
GAUGGCUUGGCGACUCGGACUCGAAGAAGGAUGCGGAAAAGGGUGACACGAAGUAGAAUGAGACUUUACUGCAACCCAAGAUGUGUCGGCAAACUUUUU